CCGCCUAGUUAACCAGCCAGACCUCCUACAAGCAGACAGCCCAGCUGAGGGAGAGCUCGUACGGUACAGUGACAGACACACCAGAACUACUGCACGCCGCCUACAUGAAAGAUGUCUACAGUCAGAAGAAGUACAAGGAUGAAGCAGAGAAGCUGAAGGGUUCGUAUGGGUUCGACACCCCCGAGAUGGAGAGAGUGAAGAACAACCAGAGGAACAU